UGGGGAAUAUUGCACAAUGGGCGCAAGCCUGAUGCAGCCAUGCCGCGUGUGUGAAGAAGGCCUUCGGGUUGUAAAGCACUUUCAGCGGGGAGGAAGGCGAUAAGGUUAAUAACCUUGUCGAUUGACGUUACCCGCAGAAGAAGCACCGGCUAACUCCGUGCCAGCAGCCGCGGUAAUACGGAGGGUGCAAGCGUUAAUCGGAAUUACUGGGCGUAAAGCGCACGCAGGCGGUCUGUCAAGUCGGAUGUGAAAUCCCCGGGCUCAACCUGGGCACUACAUUCGGAACUUGCAGGCUAGAGUCUUGUAGAGGGGGGUAGGAUUCCAGGUGUUGCGGUGAAAUGCGUAGAGAUCUGGAGGAAUACCGGUGGCGAAGGCGGCCCCCUGGACGAAGACUGACGCUCAGGUGCGAAAGCGUGGGGAGCAAACAGG
rnacentral:rRNA from 1 species